rnacentral:lncRNA from 1 species
AAUUGAAUCUCAAAGAAAUAACUAAGAAAAUAGUAUUUUCUUAGGAAUUCUUCAAAGAACCAAAAGUAGAGAAUAAACUCACAAAUAUAUUGAAUAAUGAAUAAUGUGUUUGAUUACAUCAACUUAGACCUCUAUUUAUACUACUCAAAACAAUUCAUUUAUAAACUAUAACCCUAAUAGAAGUAAAUUUGGAAAAGAAUUCUAAUUAAAAAAAGAAGUCCUAAUUACAAUAGAAUUAUAAAAAUCUAAAAGUCCUUGCUGAAUAUGUAACUCGUGGGCUUAGUAAGAGCAGAAUUGGGCUUGUAUUAAAUUGUCCUAAAUUUUUUUCUCAUCCUUAUCUUUGGGUUUCCUUGUGUUAGCUUCAGCCCAAACAUCUUGGAUCAAUCUAUUGAGAUCUUGUUUGAACCUUUUAGUUCUAGCCUUGCUUGAUCCCCACUUCCCUUUAGUCUUGUUUGAGUCCACGCAUGCCAUGUCCUCAUCAAGAGCUCUGCAGAUAAGGACUUCUUGUCAACAAAACUCAAAACUAAACUGAUAUAUAUGGGGGUAAAUUAACUUUUCCUUCCAGGGACCGACUCACAAGUUGGUACCACAACUAAAAAAAAGUAACAAAUUUGUGCUUGUCCUAGAAAAAAUUUACAAAUCAAACAGACAUGACCGAAAAGUCAUAGUAGGCUAAUGUAUCCUAGGUGGAUAAUAAUAUUUGUACCUGGUGUCUAUCAAUGGCAUCAUCAUCUUUUAUCUUGAAUCCCGAAGAAAACUCAAAUUCCAUCAUGCGAAUCGAAGCACAAAAAGAGAAGAAAAAUGGAAACAAAUAACAAUCAAAUCGAACAACAGCAACAAUUCCAAAUCGAUCGCACCAGAUGAAAAUUUGACACGUAACACCAGAUCUACGUAACUAAGCUCCUCGAAGCACUCCGUAACCGAAGCUCUUUUACUCCUGCUGUCGGUACUCGCGCCGUAAGAGAUACCGUCGAUCGAGAACUCGUCGUUAUGGCAAAAAGGAAAAUGCAGUGGAGCAGAGCGAUUCUGACGAACCGGCUCAGGCUCCAAAUGAAUAACAGAUGGUGGGGGGUCGAUUUAGAUUUUAGUCUACACAGAUUUGCUAUUGUAUGGAGACAUAUGAGGCUUAUUGUUGUCUGGUGACGGAGCUGGGUCGGCAUGGGUGUCAAGGAGGAGGAGGUGAUCGGAGGAGGAAAUGGAGGAGCUGCAGGUGGAGUCGUGGGAGGCGGUGGUGGUGGUGUCGGAGGUGGAGGAGGAGGAGAGGAGGAAGGUACAAACCAUAGAGAGGCGGGGGAGAUAUGGAGGGGGAGUUGUCCUUUGUAAAAGAGUUCGUCGGCAGGGAUGAGGCUGGUGGUGGAUUUGUAGGGGGGAGGGAGACGGUUAAUUCAAAGUCGGAGGAGGAUGUGUGGGUUGGGAAGGAAGGUAGGGUUUGGGGUUUAAUUUUGUGAAGAUAUGAUGAUCUGCACAAUUUGAUAAGGAAGACUAAGGAGAGAGAAUAGAGGAAGGAGAUGAAAAGAGAGAAGAUGGAGAAGAAAAAGAAUAUAUUAAAUUUUUUUACUAAAUUUUAUUUUUGACACGUGUCGGUCUGAAUUUUUUUAACAGAAAUGGCAUAGUUGAACUAAAUUUUACAACAUUAAGGACAUCUACAUCUAGGGACAAAAAAGUUGAAGGAUUAAAUGGGCCAAACGUGAAAACCUUUAAAGCAAUUAUGCAUCUUUACCCAAAAUUUUAUACUACUACUUCCGAGUUAUUAUUUCUAAUAUUUUCUUAGCGACUCUAAGCAGCCUAGACAAACUUAAACAUUUUAAUUUAAUUCGGAUUUGAUCCAAGACUUAUUCCGAAUAUGAAAUUUAACCAAGAUUAUUUCAGAUAGUAAGGUAAAGAUUGCAUAGUUGUAUCAAUGGUGUUUCUUAGGACAAUGAAACAAAAUUAAUGCAGAGUUGUAUUAGUGCUAUUUUUGGAACUAGUGGUAUGCAGAGUUGUGUCAAUAAUGUAGACUUGCAGAGUUUUUAUAUCAUCAAGCUCUUCCAAUUAUGGAGACUUUUUGGAACUUUGAAGACAUUUAUUAAGGCAAAGAGUAGUACACUUUAUUAUAAUAUUUGUCAUGUUGUUGACUAAAUUUAAAGAAACUAAUAUCAAUUUUUAUUUAAAAAUAUUUUUAAGUUUAUUUUAAAAAAUUAAUACUGAAACCAAUCAGUUAAUUGUGACUCUUUUUACUCUCAAAGGCAAUAAUAGGAAGAGGGAGUUGAUUAUAAUUGGGCAAGUUUUUAAAAGAGUCUCGUAGCCCGUUAUAUAUUGUAAAAGUUUUCUAUUAAAUUAUGAUUUUGAUGUAUAUUAAUACAUGAGAUUGUAUAAGAUUAUAAGGUUAGCCAACUAUAUCAAAUGCAUCAUUAAAAUAUUAUAAAUUAUAGUUGUUCACGUAACACGCAACAAAGGACCAUAGAAUUUUAGUUUUUAAUUACCAGAAAAUAAUGUUGAACCACAUGGUUUUGUUUUUGGUAAUUCUAAAUGAAAACCAAUUGACAAGUCUGAUGUAGGGUGAGCAUGGUGCGGUUUGAAACUUAAACCGCACACGAAACUGCUUAGGUGCGGUUUGAUAAAUUCAAAACCAUACAUGAAACUGUUUGUAAUUGGUGAGAUGCGGUUUCAUUUGGUGCGAUUUUGGUUCCAAAACCAAUUGAAAUAACAAACCCAAAAAUUUGGUUACAAGCUAUAUACCAACUCCAGUUUGAUUCCCCCUCUUGUGACCAUAGCUUAAUCUGGGCAAUAAAUUUGGAAGCUUUUUAAUGCUUCUUUAAAUCUCACAAUCACCUCUUAGCUUUAAACCACCAAAUUUUAAUGCAGAAUAUGUUUAAUGUGGUGGCGACAACUCAUAGACCUUUGAUGAAUCUAAGAAUCUGCAAACAUAUUUCGUAGUGAACACAAUCAUGGAGCUACCUUAGCAAAAUAGUUCCAGGCAUCAACGAUUAUGGUUAAUUAAUACUAUGUUAUCACAUUUGAUUUAGGAAAUAGCAAGCCACUCUUGAUUUGCAGACAUAAUUGAUACUACUGAUUUUUCAUUUAACCCUGCAAUAUCUGUCUUCUAAAAUAAAAUAAGGAGAAUAUGUUAUAGUAGAGAAAUUAUAUAUACUCGUAGAAAAAUUUAAAAAACAUGAUGAUUAUUUUGUGCGGUUUGGGUUUUAUGCGUGCGGUUUUGGCUAGUAACCAAAUCGAAACCGUAAAUUUGGUUUUUUAACUCACCUAAAACCUCCACAUUUGUCGAAACUAUUGAUGUGAUUUUAAUUGGUGCGAUUUGUGCGGUUUUGAUUUAAAUUUGGUUCCUUGCUCAACCCUAGUCAGAUGGACAGGUAAUUUCAAUAUUAUUUCCAUUUAACAAAAAUAAUUUUAGAUAUCAAUUAAAAAAUAGUGUGUAGUAAUUUUAAAUACUAUCCCAAUUGUAGCCAACUCCCUUUUCUAUUAUUUCCUUUGAGAGUUUCAAGGAGCCGCAAAUAAUGGAUUAGCAAAGAACUUAAUAAUCCGCCUGUUUCAAUAUAUUAGUAUUGAUUUUUUGAAAUCAUCUUAAAAUAUUUUUAAAGUUUAAUGAAUAAAGAUUCCUUUAAAUUAGGUUAAUAAAAUAAUAAAUAUUAUAAAUUAUAUAAAAAUUACUAUCCAUUGUAAAAUUUAUUGUUUAUAAUUUUUAAUGAAUAAUUUCAAAAAAACUGAUAAAUCUACAACAAAAAAAUAUAUUUUACCGUCGUUAUACGUCUAUAGCGACACUUUUCAUGUGAAAAUAUCAAAGUGUUGUGAAAAUAUUAAUUUUCUAAUUAUAAUUUUGAGUUUUAAAAUAUUUCAAAUUAACUUUUAAAAAUUGAUAAUGAUCUCAUAAUUUGAACUAGGAAAACUACUUAAACCAAUUUCUUGUGGAAAAUUCGUUUCAUGGGACCUAGCAGAAUUUAUUCCACAAUACUAAUUUUUUCCAAUUUCUUUGCUAAAUGAUCUUCUUGCCUCUUUUUAAAACCAAUUUCUUGUGGAAAAUUCAUUCCGUGGUGACUGCUUGACUAAGUCAAAUUAUUAAGUCCGCAAGUUUUCACUAUCAUGGUCAUGCGUGGGGACCAGGAGCAUAUAUGUUCACAUAUAGGACNNNNNNNNNNNNNNNNNNNNNNNNNNNNNNNNNNNNNNNNNNNNNNNNNNNNNNNNNNNNNNNNNNNNNNNNNNNNNNNNNNNNNNNNNNNNNNNNNNNNUUUGAGUUUUAAAAUAUAUAAAAUUAACUUUUAAAAAUUAAUAAUGAUCUCAUACACAAUUUGAAACAGAAAAAGUACUUAAACCAAAUUCUUGUGAAAAAUUCGUUUCAUGGGGCCCUAACAAAAUUUGUUGGGAAAUUGCAUAUUUAAAUUUGAUAUUGAAAGUAAAUAAUCAUGCUUAUAUGUAAAGUCCUCAUAAGGAGAAGUCCUCAUCGGAAACCCCCCUCUUUCCUGAGAAUGAUCUGGUUGUUAAUAUUGUGAGUUAUAAUAUUAAUGAUGAAUGAUUGUUGAAAGAUUAAAAAUGUGUUUAGUCAAGUGAUUUGUGAUAAAUAAAGGGGUUUGUCAUGAAGUAUUUGUUGUAAAUUUUGGUUUAUUACAUGUGUGAGAUCCCGAAAUUAUGAAAUGAAAGUAUUCAAUUUUCUUAUAAUUAUUAUUUUAUUUAGUAAAUGGUUAAAUUGAGAAAAAGUUAAAGUUAAGGGUGAUAUUUGAAAAUUUUGAAAAGUAUGCAAGUUGUUAUAAAAUAUUCGUUGUGUCGGGAAAUAUUCUUUUGGUCGGGGAAUAUUCUUUUUAUCAGAGAAUAUUCGUACAACGGCAUAAUCAUUGGUGGACCCCACAACGGAAGUAUUGUCGUAUUUAGAAAAUGAUAGAAUUAUCAUUUUAUAAAAAUAACGACGAAAGUGUUACCGUUAAAACUGUUGAACUACCCGGUAGUAAAAGUACAGUAAUAUGCGUAGUUGCAUAUUAACACACAGUAUUGAUUAUUGAUGCUUACGUGAGAAGUUACUCAGUUAUACUCAAUUAUUGCUACAGUAAUUGCUGCAUCAUAUCUCUCAUAUUAUUGAUUCAAUUAUUGUCACAGUAUCAUCUGUAUAAUAUGUUAUAUUAUUAAAUCAAUAAUUGAGACGACAAAGUUAUUCAUAUUAUUAUUUGCAAUAUUGACAAUGUCUAGAAGUUCUGUCAAGGAGAGGUUAGAUAAUCUAAUUGCGCUCCAAUAGGGAGAAAUCCUUAUCGGAAAGCCCCCUCUUUCCUGGGAACAACCUGGUUGUUAAAUAUUGAGAGUUAUAAUAUUAUUGAUGAAUAAGUUCGUGUUGAUUAAAGAUAAAAUUGAUAGUUCCAUUGUGUGGGAAUUAUUAGUGUUAGAGGAAAUCGACAUCUAUUUUGAUAAUAAUUGAUGUCUGGAGGUUAUAUUGACCAAUCGGGUAAUUAACCGGAUAAAUGAACAAUUAAUUGCUAUUGAUUCACAUGAUUUACUAUUAGGGGAGUUAGUGCAAGAUUGAUAAUACUUGCAUGACUAAGUUCAAAAUGGAGGUAUAGAUGGAGGUACUAUACUGUAAUUCAUAUUUUCACAUGUCUAGAACUAUUGAUUCACAUGAUUUACUAUUAGGGGAGGUGGUGCAAGUUUGAUAAUACAUGCAGGACUAAAUUAAAAAGGAAGAAAAAGAGGAAGGUAUUAUUCUGUAAUAUUUCGAGCCCCAAAAUGUGCAAUUAUUGAAACUAUAUUUUUCUAUAAAUAGAAGCUCAUUCCUUCAUUAUUUUUCACCAAUUCACUAAAGCUAUAGAGCAAUUAUUAUAGAGAAAUUAUAGAGAGAGAAGCUAUAAAGAGAAAGAAGAAGUGAAGUCUCUACUUUACUAUUCCAGUAUCCAGUCUUCUUCCGAGGUAAGGGAUAUUAUUAUUAUAGUAAGGGGUAUAUUUCUUUCAUAUUCAUAAAGAGAGCUAUUGUUAUUCCAUUCCUUAUUAUUCUGUUGGAAUAACCUGUAUACGCGGACUACCGCAUACAUGGUAAAAUUCUUCUGUUAUUCUAUUCUUUAUUAUUAUGUUGGAAUAACCUGUCUAUGCGAAGUACCACAUACAUAGUGCAAUUCUUCUGUUAUUCCAUUCUUUAUUAUUCGGUUGGAAUAUCCUGUCUGUGCAGAUUAUGCAUGACCUGGUUCCAUUAUUUAUUAUUCUGUUAGAAUAUCCUGUCUGUGUGGAUUAUGCAUGACCUGGUUCCAUUAUUUAUUAUUCUGUUGGAAUAACCUGUCUGUGCGGUAUAUCGCAUGCCUGGUGAAUUCUUUUGUUAUUCCAUUUUUUAUUAUUCUAUUGGAAUAACAUGUCUGUGUGGAUUACCACAUGCAUGGUGAAUGAUCCUUUAUAUUCAUUCUUUAUUAAAUUAUGGAAAUGAUCUGUCUACAAGGAUUAUCACAUGGCGGGUGAAAAUCCAUUUACAGUUUUGUAUAUUCUAUUAUACUCGUAUGAGAUAUCAUUUCUUUUGUACUCGUCAUGGAAUUUCAUUUUCAUUGGUAUUUUCUUUACGAGUUACUAUUCAUGGGUUACUAUUCACCCAGUUACUAUUCACUCUAGUAUUAUUCACUCGGGUAUUCGGGGCACUUUUCGUGUCGAAGUACUAUUUACGAGUUACUAUUCAUGGGUUACUAUUCACCCAAAUUACUAUUCACCCAAAUAUUAUUCACUCGGGUAUUUGGGGUACUUUUCAUAUCGGGAUACUAUUCACAACAUACAAUUCCCGAAAUACUAUUCAUAGGGUACUAUUUACCCGAAAAAUAUAUUUCUUUUCUGUCCAAAUUAUUUUUGGUACAUGAAUAUUAUUCUUGAAUUUUACUCCAUAAAGCAGUAUCAUGUUGACAAUUUGGAUAUUUUUAAACUCUGGAUAAAUUUAAAGUCUUUAAUAUUUAUCCUUGAUUUCGUUUGAUUAAUGCUUCUAUCAUUGUCAUCAUCCUCAUGCUUAUAUUGUGAUGAAAGUCAUCUUUGGCUUACGUGCAAAGAUGGACUAUUGAUUAUUGGUAUAUCUUUGGCUUACGUGCAAAGAUGGACAGGUGUAUGACAUGAUCAUAACCACUGGUGAUAAUAACGAAUAUCCUUGGCCCGUAGUGCAUGGAUAAUUUGAUGAUGUGAUAUGCAGGAUCAUGACCAUUAGUUAAUAGUGGAAUGUCUUUGGUCGUAGUGCACUGACAAACAAUUGAUUGGUAUGAUCAUGACCAUUGGUUUUAUAGUUGAAUAUCUUUGGCCCGUAGUGCAAAGAUAGACAAUUGAUUGGUAUGAUCAUUGUUAUUACAUUUGAAUAUCUUUAGCCCUUGGGGUAAGGAUAUUGAGUAAACGUUCUAUUAAGCCUUUGUGGCAAGGAGAAACUGUUGAUUUACAUGAUUAUAAAUAUGAAUUGUAAAUUUAACUAUAACCUUUGGUGGUUCAGGAAAAGACAGGUGAUGAGAGUUCUCUUUGUCUUGGGUAUAAUAAAGAACAGUUGAUGAAUAUUAUAGGAAUGAAAUAUUAACGAUGGACUUUUAAUUUGGAGGAGAUAGUAGACAUUAUGUUCUACUUGACUCUUCUAUGGAUUGUUUAUUCCGCUGCAACUAUGGUUGAAAAAUUUUAUUAUCUACCAUAUGUUCUAAAUCUCUGAUUUAUUCUGAUGAAGGCUAUUGAUAAAUUAAUUAUCUUAGCCAUGAUAUUCUUUACUGGGCUAGUUGUGCUCACCCUUUUGCUUCACAAUUCUUUUUAGGUAAUAAGAGUGUAGCUGGGUCGAGUGGGGAUAAUAGAGGAAUAGUAUGAUGGUCCGAGACUGUCGAAGUUUUUUAAUACAUUAUAAAAUGACAUGACAUGCAAUAUAUAAUUGUAUUGAGGACCUAAGAUGGGUGUGUCGUAUAUUAUACGUCACUUAAUAAUUGAUUUUGGUGAACAACAAUAGGGUGAUGAGAACCCGACUUUGAAAGCGUCAAAAGUGCACCUCAUUAGAAUGAACAGGAUAGUUAUCUUCUCGUUUUUUUUGGGGUCUUGAAAUAUUUGCUACUGUAUUUUAUAUGGCAUUGUAAUAAUUUGAGUUUGGAUACUGUCUACGAGACAAUAUUGUAUUAAAACUCACAGCUCAUAUGUUGUCAUACUCUGCACGACAGUUCAACAGUUGUAUAAAUGAAGUUUGUAUUUGAUUUUUAUAGUGUGAUAUCUGGCGACUCAGAAUGGGUCGUGUGGACCUAUUUUGGGGGCGUCACAACAUGGGACCCCACUUAUUCAGUUUUCAAAAUCGUCGGUAGAAAGUUAUCUAAAUUUUAUUUUAUUACUUAUAUAUAUAUAUAUAUAUAUAUAUGACGUGUGUGUGUGGGUGUAUAUAUAUGUAAGUUUUGUUUUAUUAGUAUUAUAAUAGUAAUAAAAUAGAAAACUUUUUAUAUAAAAUAGAAUAUAUUAUAUUAUAUAUAAAGUUAUUUGUUUUACUUGAAUAUUAUAUUUUUAUUUUGAAAAUAUGGCGUCUAUGAAUUUAUAGAACUCGGCCCAUGAAAUCUUUCAAUUGUUGGUCCAUGAAAGAAAAUUCUAAAUAGUAUCCUGUCAUUCUCCUAUAAAUAGGAUUCUUAGUUUAGAAAUGAAAAUUACACCAGAAUUAGAGAAUUCUUAUUCUAUAAUAUUGAGCGUAUUUCUUUUGAGUUUAAAGAAACUUUCAGUGUUGCAAAUAGUGCAAGUUUUCUUCAAGAAUAUCCCUGCUAUACCAGUCAGAAGUACUCUUCUUUUAAGGUAAAGGAUAUUAUUUUCAUUCAAUAUUCGUAAGAAAUAAUAUUUCUUUUUCCAUACUCUGUAGUAUGUAAGUAAUAUUAUUUCGUUUCAUAUUCCUAAAUCUACACUUAUUUUGAUAAGUAUUGCUUCUAUAUUCCUUGAAAUUAGUAGAAUAUCCUUAAAAUUUGCGCUUCAUCUAGUAUUGUUUCACUAAAAUAUUUUUGUGAAUAUUCUUGUUAAAUUUUAAUCUUUUCAUGCCGGAGUACUAUUCAUGGGAUACUAUUCACUCAGGUACUAUUCACCCGGGGUACUAUUCACGACAAAAAUUGAUUUCUUUUCUGUCCAAAUUAUUUUUGAUACAUGAAUAUUAUUCUUGAAUUUUACUCCACAAAGCAGUUAUCAUGUUGACAAUUUGGACAUUCUUAAACUCUGGAUGAAUUAAAUUAUAAAUCUUUAAAAUUUAUCCUUGAUCUCACUUAAUUGAAUUCUUAUAUCAUUAUCAUCAUCUUCAUGCUUAUAUUGUGAUGAAAGUUAUCUUUGGCCCAUAAUGCAUAGAUAGACUGUUGAUUGGUAUGAUUAUGACCAGGAAUUAUGUAUCGGUAUAAUCAUGACCUAUAAUGUUACAAAUGAUGUGGUAAAAGUCCUCAUUGGCCCGUAGCGCAUUGAUGGACAGUUGUUUGGUAUGAUCAUGACCACUGGUGAUAAUAACGAAUAUCCUUGGCCCGUAGUGCAUGGAUAAUUCGUGGAUGUGAUAAUAACGAAUAUCCUUGGCCCGUAGUGCAUGGAUAAUUCGUGGAUGUGAUAAUAACGAAUAUCAUUGGCCCGUAGUGCACGGAUAAUUCAGUGAUGUGGAUUAUUUAUUGAGCUACGCUGCAGAGAUAAAAUAUUGAUGAUGAACUUUUAAAUCAUAGAAGAUAGUAAAUAUCAUGCUCUACUUGACUAUUCUAAUGGAUUGCUUGUUCCGUUGCAGUUAAACUUGUUGUCUAUUGUAUUCUAUCAGUUUUACACUGUUGAAGGCUAAGGAUAAUUUAUUCUGUAUUAUCUUAGUCAUAAUAUUCUUUACUGGGCUAGUUGAGCUCACCCUUUUCUUUCAUUGUUCUCUUUAGGAAAUGAGAAUAUAGUUGGAACUAGUCGGGGAAAAUGGAGUGAUGGUCCAAGAUGGUGGCUAUAUUAGUCAUCAUUAUUCUAUAAAAUAGUGUGAUAAUAAUUGUAAUGAGGACUCCAUUUGAGUUUGGAUAUUUUCUAUGAGACAAUAUUCGUGUUAAAACUCUCAGCUACGUUUUUGUCGUAUUAUAUAAAUGAAGUUUGUAUUUAAAUUCUGUACCAUAUAUUUGGCGACUCAGAAUGAGUUGUGUAUACCUAUUUUGGGGGCGUCACACACAAUACUCAUCCCUGAUUGUAGUGAACUCCCUUUCUUAUUAUUACCUUUGAGAGGACAAAGAGUCAUGUUUUUUUAAUUAUUAUUGUUUUUAAAAUUUUUGUAAGAUGCUAAAUUUUAUUUUUGAAAAGUUCUUUAAAUCUAAAAGUUAUGGAUGUUAGAGUACAUUGUUCUGAAUUGAGAAUUCUUACAAAAAAAUGAACAUAAUGUUGGAUAUAUAUAUAUAUAUAUAUAUAUAUAUAUAUAUAUAUAUAUAUAUAUAUAAAUGAAUGAGAAUUUUAUCUAAAAUAAAAUCACUGGGUGUGACCUUUGGUUCAUAUCUUUUCAAAUUGAAAAGGUACCUUUUCAUCUUUUCAAAGGGAUGUAUAUCUUCAAAGGGGUGUUUGUAAACCUAUAAAUAGGUUCCAAAUCUACCCAAAACAAUAAUAUCAACUUCAAACCUUCUCAAGUUCUUAAAAUUCAAUUCAUUCUUUAUUCAUUAAAAGUCAUAGAGAGUAUUCAAAUAUUAUUGUUUCGUGGAAAUCUUCCAUUGAAGUGCUUCUUGUGACAGUUAAAAACUAUUUUAUUCUAGGAAGUAGACGUCCAUUGUUCCAUCCGUAAGCACCAAUAGCGGGGACGAAAUCUGGUUUAAGGAGAAACUGUCCAACAGUUGACUUGAUUUUAAAAACUUUGUCAAUUACAUCUAGUAAGUCAUUAUUAUAACCUUGUUUAUAUCCUACUUCUGUUUAUAUAAUUAGUAUAUAAUUAUUACUAGAAUUAACAAUCUUAAAGCAGAUUUUCUGUGUUCUUCCUUAGUAUUCAUUUUAUACUAAUUUAUAAAACAGAACUUAUUCUAUACUAAUAUAUAAAACAUAAUCUUUCCCCGCUCUCUAAAUCAGUGAAAUUCGGUUUUGGUUCAUUUGAUUUUGCAAUAUUUCCCUUGAAAAGAAUAUACAUUAUGCCCGGUGGGUACUAACAUAAAUAUAAUAGUGCAUCAGUUUUAUUUAAUAUUCGGGAAGAUAUAUCAUGUAUGCAUGUAUAUAUACAUCCUUCAUAUUUAUAUAUUCUCCAGUAAUGUCAUAUAUAUGACAACUUGACUGAAAUAGAAUUAAAAUCCAUCAAAUUGAAUUGAAUUGGUCGGAUUUUAAUUGUAUUGAUAUUUGGUCUAUACAUUUUUGGUACAUAAAUAAAUAAACUUGAUUAUCGUAUUGAAAUAUUUUUGCUGAAUAGUGGUGCAUCGGAUUAAAAAAUAAGUAUAUAUAAAAUAAAUUUAUAUUGUCUACUUUUACGUAUUAUUUGAUAACAAUAAUAAUACAAGACAAAAUAUAGAGAGAGAAACCACAUAUGCUGAUGUGAAUGAGUAGAUUAACCACUAUUCAUCUCUGUUCUUUUUAGUUUCAUUACAGAAAUUUAUUUUCUGAUUUUUUUAAAAAAAGUUAAAUUAAAUUAAAUACAGAUUUACUUUAUUGUAAUUACAAAUUUAGUUUUUGUUUUCUCCUUCUAUUGUUUCUAUUUUUAUUAAAGUAAUUUUGUAAAUUGUGUAUUUAAACAGAAUUAUGGCUUUAUCUAAUUCAAUUGUGCCUAACUCUAUUACAACCAAUGUUCCUACCCAUGUUAGUCCUGGUGAGAAACCUGAAAAAUUCAGUGGGAUUGAUUUUAAAUGAUGGCAACAGAAAAUGUUGUUUUAUCUUACUACAUUGAAUCUUUCAAGGUUUUUAAAUGAGGAUGCUCUUGUGGUAGAUGAUAAUGAACUGAUAGGACCACACUGGAUGUUGUGGAUGCAUGGAAGUAUUCUGAUUUUCUUUACAAAAAUUAUAUCCUCAAUGGAUUGGACAAUACAUUGUAUAUUGUGUAUAGCCCAAUCAAAACUGCUAAGUUAUUAUGGGAGUCUUUGGAUAAAAAAUAUAAAAUGAAAGAUGACGGCAUGAAGAAAUUUGUUGUUGGUAGAUUCCUGGAUUUUAAAAUGGUUGAUACAAAGACCGUCAUAAAUCAAGUCCAAGAGCUUCAAUUGAUAAUCCAUGAGAUUCAUGUUGAAAAAAAUGGUUUUAAGUGAAUCUUUUCAAGUGGCCGCAAUAAUUGAAAAAUUACCCCCAUCUUGGAAAGAUUUUAAAAAUUAUUUAAAGCAUAAACGUAAAAAAAUGGUGCUCGAGGACUUGAUAGUUAGGUUGAGGAUUGAAGAAGAUAAUCGAAUGUCUGAAAAGAAAGUUGAAAAACUUCCAAUUACAUCCAAUGUUAAUGUAAUAGAGAGUGGUAACAAAACUAAGAAAAUGAAACACAAUAAUGAAGACCCAAGUCAAGGAAGCGGUCCUUCAAAGAAGUUCAAAGGGAAAUGCUAUAAUUGCAACAAGAUAGAACAUCUUGCAAAGGAUUGUCGCAAACCCAAAAAGCAAGAGAACUUCAAAAGGAAAAAUGCCCAAGCAAACAUAACAGAAAUAGAUGAAGUAUCUGCUAAAGUUUCUGAUAUGUAUCUUUCGGCAGUUGUCUUGGAAGCCAAUUUGGUGGGAAAUCCUAAAGAAUGGUGGGUUGAUACUGGCGCUACAUGCCACAUAUGCUCGGACAAUAAAAUGUUUACUAUCUAUCAACCAAUAGAAAAUGGUGAGCAACUAUUCAUGGGCAAUUCCUCAACUUCUAAAGUUGAAGGAAAAGGAAAGGUCGUGUUAAAGAUGACUUCGGGCAAGAAACUCACACUCAAUGAUGUACUACAUGUGCCGAACAUUCGCAAGAAUCUAGUCUCUGGAUCUGUAUUGAGCAUUAAAGGGUUCAAACUAGUGUUUCAUGCUGAUAAAUUUGUAGUUACUAGAUGGAAUGUAUGUUGGAAAAUGGUAUAUGUGUGAUGGGAUGUUCAAAAUGAACGUCAUGACUAUUGUACCAAAUGUUAUUAUUAAUAAUAUAAAAACACAUCUUUUGCUUAUAUGCUUGAAUCUAUGAAUGUUUGGCAUGGUAGAUUAGGACAUGUGACCUAUGGUAUUUUAAGUAAAUUAAUUAAUUUAGAAUUAAUUCCAAAAUUUAAUAUUGACAAAAGUCAUUAAUGUGAAACAUGUGUAGAAGCUAAAUUAACUAGAACAUCUUUUCAUUCUGUUGAAAAGAGUUCAGAACCUCUAGAUUUAAUUUACACUGAUAUAUGUGAUUUAAAAUUUGUGCAAACUAGAGGUGGUAAAAAGUACUUUAUUACUUUUGUAGAUGAUUGCAUAAGAUAUUGCUAUGUCUAUCUUUUAAGGACAAAAGAUGAAGCAAUUGAAAUGUUUAAACAUUAUAAGAAUGAAGUUGAGAAUCAACUUAGCAAAAAGAUUAAGGCUAUAAGAAGCGAUAGAGGUGGUGAAUAUAAAUCACUAUUUAUAGACUUUUGUUCAGAAAAUGGUAUUAUUCACCAAAUUACCGCUCCUUAUUCACCUCAAUCAAAUGGUGUUGCUGAACGUAAGAACCGAAUUUUAAAAGAAAUGAUGAAUGCUAUGUUAAUAAGUUCUAGGUUGCCACAUAACAUGUGGGGGGAGAAUUAAUAUCUUCAAAUUUUAUUCUCAACUGUUUGCUUCAUAAGAAAACAAACAAGAUACCUUAUAAAUUAUGGAAAAGUCAAAAACCUUCCUAUAAAUAUCUUCGAGUGUGGGGGUGUCUUGCGAAAGUAAUUGUUCCUGAUCCUAAGAGGGUUAAGAUAGGUCCUAAAAUAAUUGAUUGCAUAUUCAUUAGUUAUGCAAAUAACAGUAGUGCAUAUCAGUUUCUUAUGCAUAAAUCAGACAUUCCUGGUAUUCAUGUCAAUACUUUUAUAAAAUCAAGGAACGCAUCUUUCUUUGAAGAUAUUUUUCCAUAUAAAAAUACACAAGAAAGAAGUUCUCGUAAAAGACCUAAUGAUACUACGACUAAUAAUCAUCAAACUAUAAUAAACCAAGAAUCUAAUGAACAUGGAGAUGAAGAUGAAUCUAGACGAAGUAAAAGGGUUAAGAUCUCCAAGUCUUUUGGUCCUGACUUUCUAAUUUACAUGCUAGAAAGUGAAGCUUAAAGUGUGAAGGAAGAGUUGUCUACUCCAGAAGCUUUAUAUUAGAAAGAAGCAAUCAAUAGUGAAAUUGAAUCUAUUAUACAAAAUCAUACUUGGGAAUUGGUGGAUUUUUCACCAGGAACCAAACCAUUAGGAUGCAAAUGGAUCUUCAAAUGGAAAAUAAAGGCUGAUGGAUCUAUUGAUAAAUACAAAGCAAGACUUGUAGCGAAAGGUUAUAGGCAAAAAGAGGGACUUGAUUAUUUCAACUCUUAUUCACUAGUUACAAGGAUAACAUCUAUUCGAAUGUUAAUUGCAAUAGCUUCAAUACACAAUUUAGAAAUACAUCAAAUGGAUGUUAAAACUGUCUUUCUUAAUGGUGAAUUAGAGGAAGAAAUUUAUAUGGAGCAACCAAAAGGUUUUAUUUCCCCUAGAAAAGAAAAGAAAGUUUGCAAGCUUGUUAAAUCAUUAUAUGGUUUGAAACAAGUACCAAAGCAGUGGCAUGAAAAAAUUGAUAAUGUUGUGAUAUCAAAUAAUUUCAAAAUAAAUGAGUUUGACAAAUGUGUAUAUGUCAAAAGCACUCAAAGGGGAUAUGUAAUAGUUAGUCUAUACGUGGAUGAUAUGUUAAUUAUUGGUAGUAAUAAUCAUUAGGGGUGUUCAACCGGUAAAAAUCGGUCCGAACCGAUCCGGUACCGAACUGAACCGGUACCAAAAUAGCCCAAAUCUUGAUUCCGAUACCGGUACCGAUUGGACCGGUAUACCAAACCGGCGGUACCGGUUUGGUACUGUUUUAUACCGAAAAUUAAUAUAAUUAUAAUUUAUUAUUUUUAUUAUUAUUUUUAUUAUUAUUAUUGUAAUCAUUAUUUUAUUAUUAUUAUUAUUAAUAAAAAAUUAGAAAACCGGUACGAACCGGUCCGGUCCGGUCCGGUCCGGUUUAUAUCGAACCAAGAAAACACUAAAUCGAAACCGGUACCGUUUAACCGGUACAUACCAAUUUUUUGUACCGGUACCGAACCGCUUGAUAUUUAUACCGAACUAGCCGGUUCGGACUGGACCGGUUCAUCCAAAAACAAAAAAAAACUGGUUUUUUGCACACCCCUAAUAAUGAUGUUAUUAAUGCUACCAAACAAAUGUUAAUUAGGAAGUUUAAAAUGAAAGAUAUGGGCCUAGAAGAUGUUAUUCUAGGAAUUAACAUUUCUAGAAUAUUUAAUGGACUUAUUGUGUCUCAAUCUCAUUAUAUUGAGAAAAUACAUGUAAAUUAUAAUAAAUAUGAGAAAAGUCCAAUAAGAACACAUGUUGACCCAACACUUCAUUUCACUACUAAUCGUGUUGAAAGUAUAUCCCAAUUGGAAUAUUCUCGUAUAAUAGGCAAUUUAAUGUAUUUAUCAAACUGCACUCGACCAGACAUAACGUACUCAAUAAGUAAGCUAAAUCGAUAUACGAGUAAUCCUGGAAAAGAAUAUUGAAAGGCUUUAGUAAGGGUACUUAGAUAUCUAAGAUACACUUUAACUAACGGAUUACAUUAUACAAGAUAUCCAGCUGUACUUGAAGGAUACAGUGAUGAAAAUUGGAUAUCUGACUCCCAUGAUACUAAAUCCACAAGUGGAUAUGUGUUUACUCUGGGAGGUGCAUCUGUAUCAUGAAAAUCCUCUAAGUAAACAUGUAUUGUAAGAUCCACUAUGGAAUCUAAAUUUAUUGCUUUAGAUAAAGCAGGAGAAGAAGUAGAAUGGCUUCGUAAUUUUUUGGAGGAUAUUCCAAUUUGGCCUAAACCAGUGCCACCAAUCAUUAUUCAUUGUGAUAGUCAAUCAGCGAUUGGUAGAGCAUAAAAUAGUAUUUAUAACGGUAAGUCUAGACAUAUACGUCGACGACAUGAAGCUAUUAAAAAAUUACUUUAAAAUGGUAUAAUAUCUAUUGACUAUGUGAAGUCAAAGGAUAAUAUUUCGGAUCCACUAACAAAAGGUAUACCUGGAGAGUAAGUGAGAAGUUCAUCAAGGGGAAUGGAUUUAAAGCCUGUAAAAUCCUAAAGAGUCGGCAUAAUGGAAACCCAACCUAAAUGAUUGGAGAUCCCAAGAAAUAGGUUCAAAGGGACAACCUAAUUAUGUGUGAUCUAGUAAACACUGAGAAUAUAAAUACUUCUUCCCAUUCCUAUGAUGAUACAGUGCAUAAACUGCCGAGUGAAAUAGGAUAAACUUUGUUUUUAAUAAUUUCUAUAGCUUGAAUAUAAAAAGGUCAAGUGGGGUAUUAGCAGAACACUCUUUAUAGAAAUUACCUAUGUGAGUGAGAAGGGGCCACUUCUAUGAGAAUGGCGAAGGCUAAAUUCUCUAGCACACUCAUGAAACCAGGAGGUGUCAAAGGCCAAAAUGGACACGAGAAGCAAUAAAAUAAAUUAAAAAAUACUAUGUGAAUUCUAUUGUCUCGAUUUACACUAAAAUGUUGAACAGUUCAAGACAUCACGUUCACUGAUUGGCCAGUAAAUCCGAUAGUCUUUCACUAGGAAAGGUUCAAGGCAACAAGCUACAUUCACCAAUUCAGUAUUUUUUGUUCACUGAUACUCUCUCUAAGUCUAUCUGCAUAUUCAUUUGCAUUAAUUUAUCCAAAUUUCAUUCAUAUGGGAGAUUGUUGGAUAUAUAUACAUAUAUAUUAAUGAAUGAGAAUUUUAUCCAAAAUAAAACCACUGGGUGUGACCUUUGGUUUAUAUCUUUUCAAAUUGAAAAGGUACAUUUUCAAAGGGAUGUAACCUUUUCAAAAGGAUGUACCUUUUCAAAGGGAUGUACCUUUUCAAAGAGAUGUAUUUUUUCAAAGGGAUGUAACCUUUUCAAAGGGAUGUAUAUCUUCAAAGGGGUGUUUGGAAACCUAUAAAUAGGUUCCAAAUCUACCCAAAAUAAUAACUUCAACUUCAAUCCUUCUCAAGUUCUAAUAGUCAAUUCAUUCUUCAUUCAUUAAAAGUCAUAGAGAGUAUUCAAAUAUUAUUUGUUCGUGGAACUCUUCCAUUGAAGUGUUUCUUGUGAGAGUUGAAGACCAUUUUAUCCUGGGAAGUAGACGUCCAUUGUUCCAUCCGUAAGCACCAAUAGCGGGGACAAAAUUUGUUUUAAGGAGAAACUGUCCAACGGUUGACUUGGUUUUCAAAAGUUUGUCAAUUGCAUCUAGUAAGUCAUUAUUAUAACCUUGUUUAUAUUCUACUUCUGUUUAUAUAAUAAGUAUAUAUUUAUUACUUGAAUUAACACAUAAUACAUAAUCAUACAUAAUUCUUUACAAAACUUUUCCUUAAUAGAUGUCUUCAAAGUUCCAAAAAGUCUCGAUGAUUGGAAGAGCUUGAUGAUAUAAAAUGUGACACCCCCAAAUCUGGGUACUCUAUUCCCACAGGAUUUGGUGUUCACUGUCCAGACAUUCAUUUCUAACUACCCAAAUUAAAUAAAACUUAAGCAAUGAAUCUUCCCAUUAAAGGAUUACAUAAUUAAAUCCAAUAAAUCCCAGGUUGUCUAACCUUAAAACAUUCAUCAAAUGCAAAAAAUUAAAUAAUUACAUCACAAUUAAAACCAAGUCUGAAAAAAACAUAAAUCUCAAUAAGUAAACAAGUCUUCAACCCUUGUUCAUCUUUCCUUUUCCUUUGCUAGUGGUCGGCUCAUCUACCUUCUCAAUUUUAGCUGCAAUUGUUAUGUAUAUGCCAGAGUGAGCAAAACAAAUACUCACUUGAAAGGACAUAAUAACUGGCAAUGAAUAAUCUUAACUGAAUUGAAUAACAUUUUAUAGUAUCGAUAAUCUAGAACUGAUAUUGAAAUUUAUUUGAGGGUCACAAGACCAUGAACUAUGUCCCAGGUUAAAAGUAUUUCUACUUAAAUCUUUAACAGUCCUUAGACUAUAUGGACCUUCUUUCUCGUACUUAGGGGAUCAACCCUUCGUACCAUGUAGUGUGCACAUAUAUCUUAACUCUUUCACGUAAUAAAUCCCCUAUAAUAGGGUUGUUCAUCUCAGUUUAACAUACGAGUCCGCACCAAAGGAACUUUGGUUUGGAUAGGUUUCAAGGGUAAUUUAGAGUUCAACGUACAUCAACUAAGGAUUAGUUGAAUCAAAAGUUCAAUGACAAAGUAAAGGUUCAACAAUAAAGUAGUUAUGAACCAUAAAUGAAUAUUGUAAAACAACAAGUUCAUGCUUUAAGAAUAUAGUUCAAAGCAGUGUAAAAAUACAAUAAACCUUGCUCGAAUAAGAUGGUAAGCUAAGGUUAAAAUUCUCAACAAGAUUAAAACUUUGCUUAACAGAUUGAAAGAACUUGCUUAAAUAAAGUUAGGGUUAAAGAACUUGCUCAAUGUAAAGAAUUAAGAACUUUCUUAAUAUAAAAGUAAGGUUUGGAAACUUGCCUUGCGUGUAGGCUAAAUAGUUAUAACUCACGUUCCCAAAUAUCCUAUACACAUGUCAUUGUGACAUAUUUAGUUACCACGUGAUCAUGGUACAAAACUGAAUAUCUAUUUCAUUUACACCUCUUGGUAUUAGGUUUAACCACAUGAUUAAACCACACUUUUAAUGCAAUAACACAAAUCUUCAGUUAUCACAUAACUCAUUAAUUUACUAAUAAUAAUUUUCAUAUUUGAUAUUAUAACAACACCACAAUAUGAUUAUUGACAUUUUAUAGUUAUAAUAUGACACUAUAUCAACAAUUAUAAAAUUGUACAGUAAAAAUCAAAUUUUUGGCCAAUCUGCUAACUAGCGCUGCAGCGCCGCAGUUUGUACUGGGGACGGCGCUGCCACGUGAGAUAAAAGCCUGUAACUGGCGUUGCAGCGCUCCUGUUUACUUGCAGAGCCGGUGAUGCAACGCCGGUACACGUCAACAGGCGCUGAGUGGAGUUGCAGUGCCCAGUUUCUUUACAAAAAUGGUGUUGCGGCGCUGCGACAAAGUUUCACGCAGACAGUGUUCGCGAAGAACACAAAACAAAGCCAAAUUAGCCUACAAGCUCAUUUCUAACAACAAAUUUAGCAUACAUAAAACACAUAAACUUUACAGAAACAUAAAUUAAUGUUUCUAACCAUAUAAACAGUAUAAACAUCAAAUUUAAGACCUCUAAAUUCACUGUUCUUGCUAUUUCUUCACUUUUAGACAUUCUUAGCGAGAUAAAUUACUGUAAAUUCGUUUUUCAACCAAAACAGUUUGUUUAAAACCUAUUAUUUUCGUUUCUUUAUAUAUUUACACAAUUUAAAGUCAAUUUAGACUUUAUAUUAUUAAUUGAUUAUCAAUUUUGAUUCCAAAAUAAUUCAUAUCAUAUACACAUAACUGUAUUUCUCUGUAAACAUGAUUUCUUCACAUAUAUCAUGUUUUCAUGGAUUAACCUACUCUAAAUCAUAUACAAAACAUAUAAAAACAGAUUAUGCAAAAAAAAUUAACAUAUACAAGCCAUAUAUUCGACAAUUAUCAUCAAAAUCAAUUAAUAGAGAAAUAAAAUAUAUUUUCAAUGAAGAACAUAAACAAAUAAUUAAAAAUUGAAUUACUACCUUCAAAUUCUUGUUUUACCAACAAAGAUGAUUAGCUAGCUUCUUUGAUUUCUCAAAUUCCUUCAUUCAAACUCACAGACUUCUCACUUUCUCUCAAGCUUUCUCUUUUCUUUCUCUGUUUUUCUUAUUUUCUCUCUCUAUACUAUACGUAACUUAUAAAACUGAUAUAUACAUAUGAUAUAUUUUAUUACGUAAUAUAAAAAAUGACAAAACAUAUAAUUCUUUAUCAGUUAUUUUUUUGAAAAUUCAAAAGCCACUAAGGCUUAUUUGGCAAAACCAAUUUAAAAUUAAUGAAUUAAAAUCCUUAAGCCUUAUUUGGCAAAACUCAAUUAAAACUCUUUUAAUUUAUUUUAAUAACUCGUUUAUUUUAUAGUUUAUUGUCACACUUUAUUCAAUGAAAUUCCCAUAUUCAAACUUAAUUAAAUUAAAACUAACAACAACUUAUUAAAUUAACACACCACAUUAUCAAAUUACCACAAAAUUAUAAUUUUUAUUAUAAUUUUAUUUAAUAACUUAGUACAUCACUCAAAUUAAUAAAUUAAAUUAAAACCUUAUUAUAACAAUUCCUUUACUCCUUAUUAACUCCCUAAUUUAAUUAUUAAAUUAAAUUAGAAUAUUAAUUCAUCACUCUUUUAAUUAAAUUAACUUCAACCUAAAAAAUUACCGAAUAUCAACUUAAUUAAUAUAUUACACUUAAUCAAGUUACUUUCUCACAACUCAUGAAUUAUUUAUUUAAUUAAUAAAUAAUCAAAUUAAAAAAAUAUUUAUUUAACAAUAAACACAUAAACUAAAAUAUUUAUUUAAUUCAAUAAAUAUUUAAAAUUACAUAAAAAAAUUCUGGAUUGUUACAUAAAAACUCUGCAAGUCUACAUUAUUGACACAAUCACACAGCUCUGCAUACCACUAAUACCAACAACUUUGUAAUCUUUACCUUACUAUCUGAAAUGAUCUGGGUUAAAUCCCGAAUCUGGAAUAAAAAAUUCUAAAAGGUAGUACUAGACCUGACAAAAUAUAGUUAUAGAUUGAUUUUGAUUUAUAAAAUAUGGUUAUGGUUCCAUUUAAGAAGUAAAAAUAUAUUAACUAUUUUUAAUAUAGGUUGUGCGGGUUGGAAGCAUAUACUUAUGGUUAAAAUAUAGGUCGACCAAUAUUUUAAAUUUCAAACUUACCAUUAUUAUGAUCCAAUUAAAUAAAUUAUUAUUAGAUAUAUCAUGUAUACAUAAUCAUUGAAUAUUAUUAUUUUUUGGGGGGUGGGGAUGUAUACAUAAUCAUUGAAUAUUAUUUUUUUGGGGGGGUGGGGUGUAUACAUUGUAAGACCCCAACUUUUAUGAAUAAAGAUGAAUUUUCAUAAUAUUCUGUAUUAUCAAUAAACGAUAAAUUAUUCUGCAUUAUCUUAGUCAUAAUAUUUUUUACUGGGCUAGUUGAGCUCACCCUUUUGCUUUCAUUGUUCUCUUCAGGAAAUGAGAACGUAGUCGGGACUAGUUGGAGAACGGAGUGACGGUCCAAAUGUUUGCAUUAGUAGUCCUCACUAUUCUAUGAAAUAGUGUGAUAAUAAAUGUAUUGAGGACUCCAUUUGAGUUUGAAUACUGUCUAGAAGACAAUAUUCGUAUUAAAACUCUCAGUUUAUAUUUUGUCGUAUUUUACACGACAGUUGUAUUAUUAAGUUGUAUUUGAAUUUUGUACCAUGUAUUUGGCGACUCAAGANNNNNNNNNNNNNNNNNNNNNNNNNNNNNNNNNNNNNNNNNNNNNNNNNNNNNNNNNNNNNNNNNNNNNNNNNNNNNNNNNNNNNNNNNNNNNNNNNNNNNNNNNNNNNNNNNNNNNNNNNNNNNNNNNNNNNNNNNNNNNNNNNNNNNNNNNNNNNNNNNNNNNNNNNNNNNNNNNNNNNNNNNNNNNNNNNNNNNNNNNNNNNNNNNNNNNNNNNNNNNNNNNNNNNNNNNNNNNNNNNNNNNNNNNNNNNNNNNNNNNNNNNNNNNNNNNNNNNNNNNNNNNNNNNNNNNNNNNNNNNNNNNNNNNNNNNNNNNNNNNNNNNNNNNNNNNNNNNNNNNNNNNNNNNNNNNNNNNNNNNNNNNNNNNNNNNNNNNNNNNNNNNNNNNNNNNNNNNNNNNNNNNNNNNNNNNNNNNNNNNNNNNNNNNNNNNNNNNNNNNNNNNNNNNNNNNNNNNNNNNNNNNNNNNNNNNNNNNNNNNNNNNNNNNNNNNNNNNNNNNNNNNNNNNNNNNNNNNNNNNNNNNNNNNNNNNNNNNNNNNNNNNNNNNNNNNNNNNCCAUAAAUUUUAUUUUUUUCAGAGGGGGUGGGGUGGAGUGGUAGGGGUAAGGGUAGGGCCUAGGGGUGUGAGUGUGGGUGAGGGUGAGGGUGAGGGGUGGGGGUGGGGGUGGGAGUUGUAUACAUAAUCAUUGAUUUUUCUGGGGUGGGGAUUGGGGUGGAGGUGUAUACCUAAUUACUGAAUUUUAUUUUUUUUGAAUAAAAAAUUUAUGAAUUUGGGGUGGAAAGAACUUUUGAUUUUGAAUUGAAAUGAAAUAUGGGUCGAAAAAUGGUUAACCGGUUUGGAUCAAUAUUUUCUUUUUAAAAAUAUUGUUCCAAACCUUAACCAACUUAAAUAAAUAAAAAUAGUUAAUCAACCCAUAUGGUUCCAGUUAAUACAGGUUGACCUAAUAAUUAAUCAACUAUAUUGUCAGUAGAUAGUACCAAUUUUGCAUAAAGCAGAGUAAUGAGAGUUACAUCAUAACCUUUGAUUAGGCAUAGAAAUUAGUCCUAUAAACAUUUAUAGUAGCACAAAUCAUGGGUUCUCAUCAGUUUUAUUAUGGUUGUAUACUAAAAUGGAAUUUAUAUAUACAAUAUUGUCACAUGGAAGAGUUUAUGUAAAUGAAAAUCAAAUUAAUUCCCUACCAUUAUAGCCUUGUUUCCUGGUAUGUAUCAUUUCAAGAGGACUAUUUGAUUAUGAUUACAAGUAAAACUUGACAUUCUAUUUUAUAUUUUAUAUUUUUAAUAUAGUAAUAAUUUCUUCUAGGAGGUAGGGAUGCUACAUUAUUGCAAUUUGCAGGUAUAGAGACUAAAACCAUGGUCAAGUCACAAGAGCAUAGACAUGUAACAUGUUAUAUCUUACCAUUUAGUCACCAACUAAACCUCAAUUUUUUUUCCUUUGUAUAACCGCAAAAUAUUAUAAAUAAGUCUAUUAUCAUAUAAAAUCGCUUAUAUACAGUCACAUGCAUAUUUUGAUGGCCCAACGUAACUUGCUCUACACAUGGAUCAUCAAAAUAUGCAUGUGAGAGUGUAUGCAAACGGUAUUUGAGCGAUUUUAUAUGAUAGUAGACUUAAGUGUGUAAGACCCCAACUUAUUAUAAAUAAAAUUGAAUUUCCUCUAUUUAUUAUUUUGAAAUAAUAAGGGUUGAUUUGAUUAAUGUGGUUAGUUAUGGAUAAAAUACGCAAAUAUCUUAAAUAAGCAAGUGGUUAUAAAAUAUUCAUUGUUGUUGGGAAAUAUUCGUUUGGUCGUGGAAUAUUUUUACUGUCGGAGAAUAUUCGUACGACGGUGCAGCCUUGUGUGGGCUCCAUAACUGAAAGUGAUUGGAUGAAGAAAACGACAAGUCUAAAUUUUUAUAAAUAAUGGCGUAGUUGUUACCGUUAACACUGUUAGAAUACUCGGUGUGUAAGACCCCAACUUUUUAUAAAUAAAAUCGAAUUUCCUCUAUUUAUUAUUUUGAAUGGGUAAAAUGCGCAAAUAUUUUAAAUAAGCAAGUGGUUAUAAAAUAUUCAUUUUAUCGGGGAAUAUUUGUUUGGUUGUGGAAUAUUCUUGUCGUCGGGAAAUAUUCGUAUGACGACGCAGCCUUUUGUGGGCCCCAUAACGAAAAGCGAUCGAAUGAAGAAAAUGACAAGUAUGAAUUUUUUAUAAAUAACGACGUAGUUGUUACCGUUAAUACUGUUGGAAUACCCGGUGGUUAAAACACAGUAAUACGCGGUGUUGCACAGUAGCACACGGUAUUGCACCAAUUAUUGAUUCUUACAUAAGAAGGCUCUACCCAAUAAUUGUUACAGUAAUUACUGUUCAAUAUUUUAUUUUAUUGAUUCAAUAAUUGCUACGUUGAUAUUUUAUAUUAUUGUUGUUUCAAUAAUUGUCACUACACAGUAUUUUCCAUUAUCAGAUCAAUAAUCCAUAUUAUUUGAAUAAUAUUAUUAGAUAGCAUUAUUGGCAAUGUCUAGAAAGUUUUGUCGAGAAAAGGGGUUAGGCCAUCUAAUUGCGCGCCAGUAAGGAGAAAUCCUUAUCGGAAAGCCUCCUCUUUCCUGGGAACGGCCUGUUUAUCAUUAUUGUGAUUCUGUAAUAUUAUUUGUGAAUAAUUAAUUAUUGAUUUAUAUGAUAAAAAAAUAUUUAUUUAUGUGGAUAUAAAUGGAGGAACUUUUAGAAAAGUGACAAUUGUUGAAAAUUGAUAUUUUAUCUUUUCUGAUAAAAUGAUUCAUUAUAUUAUAAUAAUAUAAUAAUGGUGAUAUUUUUACAAUGAAUGUGUGAUAUAUGAAUAAAUGAGGAGGAAGAGUACUUUUUGUUACAAUAAAUGUUAAAAACAUCUUAAACAUGUUGGUGGAUCCCAUUUUUGACUGAAAUUUGAUUAUAGCCUGUAAAAUCGUCCGUAUGUGGAUUUCGGUCAAUUUCUGUUUAGAAUUUGAAAAAACUUAAAGCUACAAAGUUGUAAAGAAAUAAAUUUUCUAUGGAAUGGACAUAAGAUUCGAAUUUUUCUGAUAAAAGGGUUAUUUAUUAUGAAUUAUUGAAGUUCCGGAAUAACUGAUUUUUGAAGUUUUAAAUAUUUUUUAAAGAAAAACAUUUUUAUUAUGUUGGUGGGCCCCACAUGAGUGGUAAACAUGUUGAAUUCAGAUUUUCUAAGGUAGGCGUGAAUUUUUUUUAAUAUAUUAAUAUUUUAUUAAAUUUUCUGCUUUGGUGUUCUAAGCAUUUUCUUAUAAAUAGGGUGCUUGGGUUAAAAUUGAAAAUCACACCAGAAACUAAAUUUUUCUCUCUAUAUUACCGAGCAUAUUCUUCUGAGUAUUUUGAUACUUUGAGUGUUGUUAUACGAUGCAAGUUUCCUUCAGCACUAUAUCCAGUAUUCCAGUCAGAAGUACUGUCUUUUUGAGGUAAGGGAUGUUAUUUUCUUCGUAAAUGAUAUUAUUUUCUUCUACCUUUUUGUGUCGAGGUUACUAUUCACGUAUACGACACUAUUCACGUAUACGGCACUAUUCACAAAUACGGCACUAUUCACAAAAAAAAUAUAAAAUUUUCUCUUCUUUGUCCCAGAUGUCUAUUUUUAUUACUAUCUUUGACUGUAUCCAUGUUUUGAUCUUCAUUCUUGAAUUUUUCUCCACUAUGGUAUAUUAUGGGGUGUUUUUGAACAUGGAUAAACCGAAGUACGAAUCUUUAAUAUUUAUUCUUUUGUCUCACUGGAUUCGUUUUCUUUAAAAUAUUUUUCAUCAUCCUCAGUCCUAAAUGAUGAUAUAACUGAAUAUCUUUGGCCUGUAAUGUAAAGAUGAAUGAUUUCCUGAUGAAUAUAUUUGGCCCGUAGUGCAAAGAUGACAGGUGUUGAGAUGAACAUGACCAACUGAUAAAUAUCUUUGGCCGUAGUGCACAGAUGAGUAUUUGAAUCAAGAUGUAUAUUGAUUGAUGUUACAGGGAUAAAAUAUUGAUGAUGGGCUUUUAAAUUCAUAGAUGAUAGUAGAUUUCAUUCUCUACUAAACUCUUCCCGUAGUGAAUAUUGGUCUGAAAAUUUAUUGUCUAUUAUAUUUUAUCAGAUUUUUCCAUGUUGAGGACUAACGAUAAUUUGUUCUAUAUUAUCUUAGUCAUAAUAUUCUUUACUAGGCUAGUUGAGCUCACCCUUUUUCUUUUUGUUCCAUUUUUCUUCUUAGGAGAUGAGAAUUUAGCAGGAACUAGCCGGGGUAUGGAGUGAUGAUUCAAGAUAGUUGGUAUAGUAGUCCUCACUAUUUUGUAAAAUAGUGUAUCAAUAAUUGUAAUGAGGACUUAUUUAAGUGUGAAUAUUGUCUAGAAGAUAAUAUUUGUAUUUAAACUCACAGUUUAUGUGUUAUCGUAUUUUGCACGACAAUUGUAUUAAUAAAGUUGUAGUUGUUUCUAUACCAUGUAUUUGGCGACUCAGAAUGGGUGAUGUAUACCUAUUUUGGGGGCGUCACAGUUGCUAUCAGAGCUUAGGGAUAUGGUCUCUGGCAAAGAUCGGGGAAUAGAACUAGGAGGGGAGAGAGGAGUAAAUCCUUCGCUAGUGUGUCCUACCUAAGCUUAUUUGUUGGUUGGUCAGAGUAUAGGGUUAUUAUGUUGCAUGUCAAUUUCUUUAAUUAACCCUUGUUUUGUGGAAGUAUUUAAAAAUGGCAGCUGAAAAUAUUAAUGAUGGAGUGAAUGAGACCGUGGAAACACCUUUAAUCAUCAACCAGGAGAACGUGCAACAGGAUGACAAUGUUCUUCAUGUAAACAACACCACUGAGCAGACGAUGAAUGAUGAGAUGUUUAGAAGCAUUUUGCGGUUCAUGCAAAACUAGACAAGGGAGACUUCUAUUCAAAAUGCAGGUAGAAAUAAUGGCAACGCACAGCUGGUCACUGCUAAACAAUUCAAGGAGUUGGGACAACCGGAAUUCUGGGAAAAGCCGGAUCCGAUUAAGGCAGAAACGUGGGUCAAGAAAAUUACCAAGAUAUUUGAUGUCUUGGGAUGCACGGAGGAACAGAAGGUUCCAUUCGCCACUUUUAUGUUCCGUGGUGAGGCAGAUUACUGGUGGGAAUCUGUGAAGCGUACCCAGCCAGCCGCACUCAACAUGUCUUGGGAAACAUUUCAGAAAUUGUUCAAUGACAAGUACUUUCCUGAAAGUAUUCGUUAUAUGAAGGAAGUGGAGUUUAUUAGACUGGAACAGAACAACAUGACGGUGUCCCGGUAUGAGGCGAAGUUCGCGGAGUUAUCCAGGUUUGCACCUCAUUUGGUGGAGAAUGAGGAACGAAUGACGCGGAUGUUUCUGAGAGGUCUGAAACCCGAUAUACGUCAAUAUCUCAUUUCUCACAAAUUUUCUCUAUAGUCAGAUGUUGUCAAUAGGGCUCAAUUAUUAGAGCGAGAUAAUGAGUACGUUCAACCGAGGGACCACAACCAGGGUCAUACCGGUGGCAGCAGUCAUCAGAGCAAUGAUAACAAGCGGGGAGGGAAAUAUACGGACAAAAGCGGUAACCACUCUGGUGGUAAUCGUGGCCAUGAUAAUAGAAGAAGCGAGUUGGGGGGAGAUUUUAAAAAGAGAAGGUACAACAAUGACAAUGUGAAGACGUCAGCACAAGCAUCAAUUGUUUCUAAGGGAGGAGAACGACCACCGGUCGUAUGUUAUAAAUGUGGAAAAGAGGGACACAUCAGCCCAAACUGCCCACAACAGUUCAAGGUAUGUUAUAAUUGUGGAAAAGAAGGUCAUAUCGCUCGAGAUUAUACGGUAGCGAAACCAAGUCCAGUGGGGAUGGUGACUCAAAAGGUUGUCCCAGAAAAGUCAAAGUCAACAGUUCCUGGAAGAGCAUUUGUUGUGACUGGCCAAAAUGCAAAAAACCCGAACGUGGUGAUCACGGGUAAGCUAAUCAUAAACUCUUGCAAAGUUUAUACCUUACUAGAUACCGGUUCAACCCAUUCUUUUAUCUCUCCUACUUGUGCUCAACGUUUAAACUUGACUCCGGAGAAAUUAGACUUUGACUUAUCUGUGGAGACUCAAUUAGGAGAAACUUUCAUUACAUCUACUGUUUAUAAAUCUUGUUUGAUCCAAGUUGGCACCAUCACAUUACCUGUUGAUCUUAUCUCUUUAAAAAUACUUGCAUUUGAUGUGAUUUUAGGGAUUGAUUGGUUAACCACUCAUCAUGCGAAAAUUGAUUAUUUUCGUAAGGUUGUUAGUUUUUAUAUCCCUAACCAACCUGUUAUGCGAAUUCAAGCAACCAAACCACUAAAGUCAAUCACUGUCAUAUCAAACCAUAAAGCCAUUCGUUUAUUGAAAAAUGGAUGUCAAGCUUUCUUAGCCCAUGUUAUGGAUUUGAAUAAAGACACGUCAGAUUUGAAUAAUAUUUCUGUUGUUAGUGAAUUUUCUGAUGUAUUUCCUAAAGAACUUCCUGGUCUACCCCCGGAACGUGAAGUUAAAUUCUUUAUUGACCUUAAACCUGGUACAAAAUCCAUUUCUAAAACCCCAUAUCGAAUGGCUCCUAUUAAACUUCAGGAGUUAAAGGUCCAACUACAGGAGUUAUUGGACAUCGGUUUCAUUCGUCCUAGUACAUCUCCUUGGGGUGCUCCUGUUUUAUUCGUAAAGAAGAAAGAUGGGAGUAUGCGACUUUGUAUUGACUACCGGGAAUUAAACCAUGUCACUAUCAAGAAUAGGUAUCCGCUACCUCGCAUCGAUGACCUGUUUGACUAGUUGCAAGUAGCAUAAUUCUUUUCAAAGAUCGAUCUUCGUUCUGGAUGUCAUCUGCUAAAGAUUAAAACUGAGGAUAUUCCGAAGACUGCCUUCAGAACUCGGUACGGGCAUUAUGAAUUCUUAGUCAUGUCUUUUGGAUUGACUAAUGCUCCUGUGGCUUUCAUGGAUAUGAUGAACCGUGUAUUAAAGGAAUAUUUAGAUCAGUUCAUUGUUGUCUUUAUUGAUGACAUCCUCAUCCAUUCCAAAAGCCGUGAAGAUCAUGAGCACCAUUUGAAGCUGGUACUUCAAAGGCUUCGUGAAAAUAAGCUAUAUGCUAAGCUGAAGAAAUGCAAAUUCUGACUUGAGGAAGUAGUAUUCCUUGGGCACAUGGUGUCAAAACAUGGAGUAUCUGUUGACCCAGCGAAGAUUGAAGUAAUACAAAGUUGGGAGCAACCGAAGUCGGUGACCUAAGUACGUAGCUUUCUGGGCUUAGCUAGUUAUUAUCGGAGAUUCGUGGAAGGAUUUUCUCGAAUCGCUACUCCGUUAACUCAGCUGACUCGGAAAGAUACAAAAUUCGUAUGGAGCGAGAAAUGCGAAAAGAGUUUUCAAGAGCUCAAGAGGAGACUCAUUUCGGCACCUGUUCUAACAAUACCAUCUGGUUCGGAUGGAUUUGUUAUCUACAGCGAUGCUUCGGGGAAAGGGUUAGGAUGUGUUCUCAUGCAACAUGGAAAAGUCAUAGCCUAUACCUCGCGACAACUUAAAGAAUAUGAGAGGAAUUAUCCUACUCAUGAUCUAGAGUUGGCAGCAUUCGUUUUCGCACUAAAAAUUUAGAGGCACUAUCUAUAUGGGGGAGAAAGUGGAGAUAUAUUCAGAUCAUAAAAGCCUCAAAUAUUUCUUCACCCCAAAAGAACUCAACAUGCGGCAACGACGUUGGCUUGAGCUGUUGAAAGAUUACGACCAUACCAUUCAAUACCAUCCUGGAAAAGUGAAUGUGGUAGCUGACGCAUUGAGUAAAAGAUCAUAUGCGGGAACGAGUGCAAUGUUGUCAACACAAAGGCUCAUUUUGUGUGAUUUACAAAAGAUGAAGAUAGAAUUCAAGACUCCGGGGACCCAUGCGAUGAUGUCAAGUAUACGCAUAGAACCAACUUUAAUCGAUAAAGUUAAAGUUGCUCAAGCCACAAACCCAGAACUGAUGCGUAUGAAGAAGAAAGUAUAAGAAGGUGUUAUCCCAGAAGCAAGAAUCGAUGAAGAAGGAAUACUUCGAGUCAACUACAGACUUUGUGUUCCUAACGACUCUGAUUAGAAAUACAAGAUCAUGAUGGAGGCACACAAUACAUCGUUUGCAAUUCACCCUAGAAGUACCAAAAUGUAUCGUGAUCUUCGACAUACAUUUUGAUGGAGCAAUAUGAAAAGAGAGAUCGUGAAGUUUAUCUCGAGGUGUUUAACUUGUCAACGUGUAAAGGCGAAGCAUCAAGUGUCAAAGGGUCCAUUGCAACCACUUGAGAUUCCGAAAUGGAAGUGGGAACAUAUUACCAUGGAUUUCGUUACAGGUCUUCCCACAGUUUCUCAGGGCAUAGAUGCGAUUUGGGUUAUUGUUGAUAGAUUAACUAAGUCUGCUCAUUUCUUGCCGAUACGGGAGACUUAUUCCCUUGAACAUCUUGCUCAUAUAUACGUGAAUGAGAUUGUGAGGUUGCAUAGCAUGCCAGUAUCCAUAGUUUCGGAUUGUGACCUAAGAUUCCCUUCACGAUUUUGGGUUAGCUUACAGAAAGCUAUGGGCACGGAUUUACGAUUCAGUUCGGCAUACCAUCCUCAAACGGAUGAACAAUCAGAGAGGACUAUUCAAACUCUUGAAGAUCUAUUAAGACUGUGUCCUAGACUUCAAAGGGAGUUGGGAUAAGUAUUUACCAUUGGUGGAAUUCUCCUACAACAAUAGUUAUCAGGAAAGUAUAGGUGUGGCUCCAUUUGAAGCAUUAUAUGGACGAAAGUGUUACUCUCCAGUAUGUUAUGAUGAGGUGGGUGAAGCAACAUUGUUGGGACCAGAGUUGGUACGUAUGACUACAGAAAAGAUCCAAAUAAUUCGACAACGUAUACAAAUGGCACAGGAUCGACAAAAGAUUUAUGCGGAUCUUCAUCGAAAGGACGUGGAAUUUAGUAUUGGGGAUCAUGUAUUAUUACAUGUUGCUCCAUGAAAGGGAGUUACAAGAUUCGGGAAGAGAGGAAAGCUCAAUCCACGAUUUAUUGGUCCAUUUCAAAUUCUUGACCGAGUAGGAAAUGUGGCCUAUAGACUCGCGUUACCUCCAAGCAUGUCUCGUGUUCAUAAUAUUUUUCACAUAUCUGUGCUUUGUAAAUAUGUGAAAGACACAAACCACAUUAUUGAGUUAGAACUAGACGAGAUAGCCGAAGACUUAACGUACGAGGAGGUACCUGUCAAGAUCUUGGAUAGGAAGGAGCAUGUCCUACGCACAAAGGUCAUACCACAAGUCAAAGUUUUGUGGAAGAACCAUGCUAAAGAGAAAAUAACCUGGGAGUUGAAAACGGAAUUGAAAGUGAGGUAUCCUCACCUUUUCGAAACACCAGGUACGUACGUCAAUUUUGAGGAUGAAAUUUCAUAAGGAGGGGAGGUUGUAAAACCCCAACUUUUUAUAAAUGAAAUUGAAUUUCCUCUAUUUAUUAUUUUGAAAUAGUAAGAGUUGAUUUUAUUAAUGUGGUUAGUUAUGGGUAAAAUGCACAAAUAUCUUAAAUAAGCAAGUGGUUAUAAAAUAUUCAUUGUUGUUGGGGAAUAUUCGUUUGGUCGUGGAAUAUUCUUACUGUCGGGGAAUAUUCGUACGACGGCGCAGCCUUGUGUGGGCCCCAUAACAGAAAGCGAUUGAAUGAAGAAAACGACAAGUAUGAGUUUUUUAUAAAUAACGGCGUAGUUGUUACCGUUAACACUGUUGGAAUACUCGGUGGUUAAAAAAUAGUAAUACGCGGUGUUGCACAGUAGCACAUGGUAUUGCACCGAUUAUUGAUUCUUACGUAACAAGACACUACUCAAUAAUUGUUACAGUAAUUACUGUUACAUAUUUUAUUUUAUUGAUUCAAUAAUUGCUAUGUUGAUAUUUUAUAUUAUUGUUGUUCAAUAAUUGUCACUGCACAGUAUUUUCCAUUAUCAGAUCAAUAAUUCAUAUUAUUUGAAUAAUAUUAUUAGAUAGCAUUAUUGGCAAUGUCUAGAAAGUUUUGUCGAGGAAAGGGGUUAGGUCAUCUAAUUGCGCGCCACUAAGGAGAAAUCCUUAUCGGAAAGCCCCCUCUUUCUUUGGAACGGCCUGUUGUCAUUAUUGUGAUUCUGUAAUAUUAUUUGUGAAACACAACAUUUAUUGGUCAACUUUUUCUCAUUUGUUCAAACACAAUUCCAUGCUUCUAUAGCCAACUUUCGGGUUGAUAAUGGUGCCAAAUUCUUCUCUAUGCGGGAAUUUUUUAAACAAAAAGGGACCACUUACCAACAUUCUUCUGUCUCUACCCCUCAACAAAAUAGGGUUGUAGAGUGCAAGCAUCGCCAUAUUCUUGCAUCCGCUUGAGCUUUUCGUUUUUAAGCCCACCUUCCUUUACAUUUUUGGGCAGAUUGUGUUUCUAGUGCUGUUCAUGUAAUUAAUCGUUUGCCCACACCACUUCUUUCUUGUCAAACUCCUUUUGAACAACUUUAUGGAAAGGUUCCUUCUUAUUCUCAUAUUUGAGAUUUUGGGUGUCUUGCCUAUGCUACAGAUGUACACAUCUUCCAUAAAUUUGCUCCUCGAGCCAAACGAUGUAUUUUUCUUGGAUAUCCUCUUGGUCAGAAAGCUUACAAGAUCUAUGACCUUGCCACCCACAAAAUAUUCACUAGCUGUGAUGACGUUUUUCAUGAAAACAUUUUCCCUUAUGAGUCCAUUCCAUCCCCUUCCUCAUAUUCAGACCUUAUGCUUCCUCUUUCUGUAUUUGCUUCUUCCCUACAAGUCCCACAACCCUCAUCACCUGAAAAAAUUUCUUCCAUACAACAAUCCUCAUCACCGAAUCCAGUUUCUACCUAGUCAUCAUCUACUAGUCCUCACGAACUCGUUUUACGUCGUUCUCAACGACCCCAUCACCCUUCUACGGCUUUACGUGAUUAUGUCUGCAACCAAGUAAUGUCUCCCAACCAUUUGUCGCUUUUGUCAUCAAGUCAACAAAAAGGUACACGAUAUCCCCUUUGCAAUUUUAUCUCUUAUCAUCAUUACUCACCACAACAUCGUUCUUUUACUACUGCUAUCAGUCAAGAUAUUGAGCCUACAUCUUAUGUCGAAGCAGCUUUACAUUCCCAUCGGCAAGAAGCAAUGCAAUCUGAAUUGGUAUCUUUAGAAGCCAACCACACUUGGUCUCUUACUUCUCUUCCUCCUGGUAAGAAGCCUAUUAGUUGUCGCUGGGUUUAUAAAAUCAAACGGCACUCAGAUGGUUCUAUUGAGCGUUUCAAAGCUCGUUUGGUUACAGAAGGUUACACACAGUUGGAAGGUAUAAAUUACCAUGACACUUUUUCUCCCACGGCUAAAAUGAUUAUUGUUCGUUAUUUAUUGGCUUUAGUAGCUGCCCAAAAUUGGUCUUUUCACCAACUUGAUGUCAACAAUGCUUUUCUUCAUGGCGAUCUACAUGAAGAAAUUUAUAUGUCUCUACCUCCUGGGCUUCAACGACAAGGAGAGAAUCUAGUGUGUCGCCUUCACAAGUCAUUAUAUGACUUAAAGCAAGCUUCCCGACAAUGGUUUUCCAAGUUCUCUACAGCUAUCCAAGUUGUUGGCUUUGUUCAAUCCAAAGCCGAUUACUCGUUAUUCACAUGUUAGAAAGGCAAAUCUUUUACAGCUUUAUUGAUAUAUGUCGAUGACAUUCUUAUUACGGGUAAUGAUGUCAAUGCCACAUCAGCUCUCAAGCAAUUUCUACAUAGUCACUUUCGAAUUAAAGAUUUAGGUGAUUUGAAGUAUUUUCUAGGCAUCGAAGUUUCUCGGUCGAAGAAAGGUAUUUCCCUCUCGCAACGAAAAUAUACUUUGGAAAUUUUAAAAGAUGGUGGUUUUUUGGGUGCUAAACCUGUAAACUUUCCCAUGGAACAAAAUAUAAAACUAUCGGAUUCAGGUGAAUUGCUUAAAGAUCUGUCUCAGUAUAGGUGACUUGUUGGACGUCUAAUUUAUUUGACUAUUACCCGGUCGGAUAUCACCUAUUCGGUCCAUGUGUUAAGCCGAUUCAUGCAUUCACCACGUAGAUCACACAUGGAAGCUGUCUUGAGUGUUUUGCGUUAUUUAAAAAGCAGUCCAAGGCAAGGUUUGUUCUUCUCUUCUCAGAAUGAUUUAUCUUUGCGAGCUUUUUCUGAUUCGAAUUGGGUUGGUUGUCCAAUAUCUCGUAGAUCCACUACGGGUUAUUGUGUUUUUCUGGGAUCUUCUCUUAUUUCUUGGCGGACAAAGAGGCAAAAAAUGUAUCUCUCUCCUCAGCAGAAGCCGAAUAUAGAGCCAUGACCGGUACAUGUUGUGAGUUAUCUUGGCUAUGCUCGUUAUUGAAAGAUUUGAGAAUAUUGCAUACUAAACCAGCAUUGUUAUAUCGUGAUAACAAAGCCGCUUUACAUAUAGUUGUCAAUCCCGUUUUUCACGAAAGAACAAGACAUAUAGAGAUGGAUUGUCAUUUUAUUCGUGACAAAAUACAAGAUGGUUCAGUUGUAACGAAACAUGUUUCCUCAACAAAUCAACUUGCACAUGUGUUCACCAAGCCAUUGGGAAAGGAAGCUUUCUCAACUAUGAUACGCAAGUUGGGAGUUCUUGAUAUUCACUCUCCAACUUGAGGGGAAGUGUUGAGAAGGAAAGGACAAUGAUAUCUGAUCAUUAAUUGACAAAUAUAUUAUAUUAGUUAUAUAUUUGUUCGGUUGCCUUUUAUACUUGUAACCAUAAAGAAUAUAUUAACAAUUAGCAUGAUUGUAGGAAAUCUCUUAUAACUACCUAGAAUAGAUUAGCUUGAUUGUAGGAAAUCUCUUGUAUAAAGAAACAUCUUCUGAUUCAAAAAAAAUAUCAAAAAAUAUUAUUUUUCCCUUUUCUUUACAUGUAUCAACCGAUGUUUCUCCAAAAAAAUUAAUUAGGACAGAUAAAUUAUGAGGAAUAUAUAUAUACAGAACCAUAACCAUGGUUAUGAGGAAUAUAUAUAUAUAUAUAUAUAUAUAUAUAUAUAUAUAUAUAUAUAUNNNNNNNNNNNNNNNNNNNNNNNNNNNNNNNNNNNNNNNNNNNNNNNNNNNNNNNNNNNNNNNNNNNNNNNNNNNNNNNNNNNNNNNNNNNNNNNNNNNNAAAAAAAAAAAAAAGUUGAUCCCUAAAUUGCCCCCAAAUUGAUAGAUAGAUAAGCAAUAACGCAAUUUGGUAAUAUCAUGCACAAAUCCCAAAAAUUAUGCUUCAGAGAUAGAGAUCACGCCAGAUCUCAAUCAAAUAUUAAGCAAUAAAAUAUUAAUCACACCAGGCCAAUUAUGUUUUAGUAGCGGAAGAAGAAUAUCCAAUAAGUGAUGACUGAUAAGUCCAGAAUAAAGUAUAAGUGCAUAAUAGAACGCGUGGCCUACAUAUUGCAGCAGUCAACUGAGCAACUAUGCUUGUAAAAAGUAAAUUCUACAUCACUAAAACUCGAGGAGAAUUUAGUUUGACAGCGAAAAUGCAGAAGCUGUUGUCCAUGGUUGCCACACACAACCAUCUUUGAUCUUUGAUGCCACCAAAUCAGUCGUUGUGUGACAAGUAAUACUACUGCCAUGUGACACCUAAUUCAUGGAACAAGGGAAGCAUACCAAGUUCACCACAACCCAUGUUAUGCACAUCCCAUGGUAUACCCACGCAGAAGCCAACAUAAUUUUUUUCUUAUACAAGUUAUUAAGUGCACACAGGGAAAAUUAGGAACAUUAACGUAAACCAUUUAUUGAUUUGAUACCCUCUGUCAAAAUCACUUAACAGGAAGUGGAGUUUACGGGAUAUAGAAUCCAAUUGCAAACUAGGACUACAUAUCUUCCUUAUGCUAAUUUAAAGAAUAUGACAAAGCUCAACUUUUGACAUCUAAUUUGAAUGUGAGUAUUCAAUUCCAUCUAAUUAAACUAUUAGUAAUAAAUACAUCUCAAAAUCUCUCACCAAAUUUGAAGAAUAUAGCACCACUGCCAGAGUUGUGAUCGACAGCAUACUCUGCUCAUACCAAACCUAGCUUAACUCCGACUCCAUACGAGGAACAUUGACCCAUUUGCAUGUGCACCUCAGUUGGGUUUCCCUUUACAUCUUUUGAGCUACCCAAAUCAUUUCCAUGUUAUGCGAAUGCAUACAUGUGUGUGUUUCUCACAGGUAUUCUUAGCUCAGCAUCCAGCUGCACGUAAUUAGAACUAGUAAUGAGAAAGAAAUGUUGCAUAACCAUUCACAUAUCUACAAGUUAUUAUUACCAAUUGUCAAUUGGAAUCAGGAAAUAAAAGAACUAGUAAUGUAUUCGGUGCAUAAAACAAAUUUGUUUAGGAAUCGGUACAAGUAUUUUUACACAAUUAUCAGAAACAUUACCUGCCAAACAUUGCUGGAGAUACUCCAAUUGUGACUUUACACCAUAAAAAUAACAAAAAAGAAUACAAGGAACCAUGUCAAUUGAAUCAAGAUGGAUAAUUUAGACUGAAAAAAAACAAGCUUUUCAGAAAAACUCCCACCCAACUCUUUGUCAAUGUGAAUUACAUAUCAACCGUAAAACUAUCUGUCAAUGUGAACAUAUCAACCGUAAAACUGAAUAACAUCAUGAAAUAAACAAAACUUAACUCCAACAUACAAAUCAAAAAGGACCCAUAUAGCCCUCUUCAACACAAAGCAUCAAUCGAACAAAGAUCUUGAUAUACAUACCUUGUUGAGUACAGAUAAUCAUUGGGCAGUAAUUGAUGAUGACACUUGCACACAAAUCCCACCUCUUUCCCCACGAGUUUAGACUGUCUUCCGGCUGAUCCUCCAAAAGAUUAAAGAACAUUACAGUGAGAGAAACACUCAUCUUUACUCUCUAUUUUCUAUCUCUACUGACCAUGGAUCAAUAUAUAUAUAUAUAUAUAUAUAUAUAUAUAUAUAUAUAUAUAUAUAUAUAUAUAUACCAAAAACAGAAAUAACAAACUAGUAGUAACAAUUAUAAAGUUCUUAUUGAGCUUUUCAGGACUUGUGUGAUUUCUUUAGUACACCUUGAUUGAAACUCAAAGGAGUGUAACAAAGGUGUUUCCUAAUCUUAUUUUAUAUAUUUUUCACAUCAAUCAGUGGAAGAAAACCACCAAAAGGAAGAAACCCGCAAGAAUUGAUUCAUUCAUGUCUGAAACUGAAAAUAACCAGGGUACGCUAGGGUUGGGUUGGGUUGGGGUUAGUUAACUCUCACAUUCUAGGUCAAAUAAAAUCAUUUUUUGUAACCUAGGAUAUCAGUAACCAAAAGGAUGCAUGUACAGAUUUUGGAAAAGAAACUUUGAUAAGAACCACAAAACAUUACACAGUUACUUAGCUAUUCAUUAAUGUGGAAAAUUACAAAUUUUAAAUCUUCUUUCCAUAGAAAUCAACUAAAUUCAUAAGUUCUAGGAAAACUCCCAAUCAGUAGGAUUUUACUUUCUUACAUCAUCAACCCAGUUUUGUAGGCAACUAAACAGGGGGAAACUAAUCCACCACUUAUAUAAACUCCAAAAAUAACAGAGAAAAGAAAAUGCAUACCUCGUCUAUACGGAAAAUGGUGACAGCGCGAGCAUCAAAGAAGAAAUCGCAGCAGAGGAUGAGGGAGAUUAUCGCAGCAGAGGAUGAGGAAGAUUAUCAUCGCACGGGGAUUUGGGGGUUUGGGAAGAAGAAAUCGCAAAGAAGAAAUCGCAUAGGGGUUUGGGGGUUCGAAAGGAAUCAUACGCUACUCCAACCAGCGGAUGAAGAGAAUUUUUUUUUACCGUCCGCUACAUUAACUAGCGGACGGCGCUAUUCCCCAUUUAAUCUCCACUCUUGUUUAUUAUUACAUUGGAAGGUUAUGAUGCUAUCAUUUCUCAUAUAUAUAUAUAUAUAUAUAUAUAUAUAUAUAUAUAUAUAAAUGAAGAGAUUUACAUACAUGAUUGAUUGUAUCUAGACAAUAAACCAUGGUUAUACCCACCGAGUGAGUCGUUAGCUCCAUGCAUGGGCAUUCUGCUUUGGAUCUAUUAACCAACACUUAGCAUCAAACAUUAUUUUUUUAUAUAUAUAGAAAAUGUCCCAAAAAUAGGGCAAGAGAUUUAUUGUACAUAACAUAAUACAAUUAGGACCUUCUUCUAACCAAUAUAAAGGACAUCACACGUCACAAAAUACCGCUAAAUUGGCUAACUGGUGAGCAACUCUAUUCAGAUUAUACUAUUUUCAGCCUGAAAGAAUUCUUCCAAACUUUGUUUUCACGUAUUUAACUUGAUUUUACUCUAGUUUGGGAGAAAAUUCAAAAAGGAGAUAUAUACUCAACUUCCUUGUGCACAAGUUGGGUGUUUUGAGCAUUCACAGUUUAACCUGAUGGGGAGUGUAAGAAGAUAUGAUAGACAUAUUUUGCCCUUAAAAUCAGUUGAAUUGAGCUUGGAUCAUUGAAUCAAGAAAUAUGGCUUUAUGUAUGCUUGUUUACUUUUAUAUUUUGAUUUUCUUUUAAUUUACCAUACACGUCAUAUUUGUGUGUUACACACACACAAAUAAUUCUAUUCAUUCUCUUCUUCACAUAUUACAGUUGAUAUUGCUCUAAAUAUAGGAUAGAAAAACUGGGAUACUCCAAAUUUUAUGAAUAAAAAUUUAAAUUUCUCGAAAUAUUUUUUUGAAUAUUAUGAUGUAAAUUUGAUAUAAUGUUAUAGUUGUGGGUAAUAUUUAUAAAUUUUACAAAGUAAGUAAGUGGAUAUAUAAUAUUCGAUUGGUCGGAGAAUAUUCGUUUUAACAGGCAAUAUUCGUGCGACGGCACAAUCAUUGGUGGACCCCACAACGGAAGUAUUGUCGUAGUUAGAAAAUGACAGAAUUAUCAUUUUAUAAACGGCGAAUGUGUUACCGUUAAAACUGUUGAACUACGCGGUAGUAAAAGUACAGUAAUACACGUGGUUGCAUAGUAGCACACGAUAUUGAUUAUUGAUGCUUACGUAAGAAGUCACUCAGUUAUACUCAAUUAUUGCUACAGUAAUUGCUGCAUUAUAUCUCUCAUAUUAUUGAUUCAAUUAUUUUCACAGUAUCAUCUGCAUAAUAUGUUAUAUUAUUAAAUCAAUAAUUGAGACGGCAAAGUUAUUCAUAUUAUUAUUUGCAAUAUUGACAAUGUUUAGAAGUUCUGUCAAUGAGAGGUUUGGUCACCUAAUUGGGCGCCAAUAAGGAGAAAUCCUUAUUGGAAAGCCCCAUCUUUCCUGGGAACGACCUGGUUGUUAAAUAUUGUGAGUUAUAAUAUUAAUGAUGAAUAAGUUCGUGUUGAUUAAAGAUGAAAUUGAUAGUUCCAUUGUGUUGGGAUUAUUAGUGUUAGUGGAAAUCGACAUUUAUUUCGAUAAUAAUUGAUGUCUGGAGGUUAUAUUGACCAAUCGGGUAAUUAACUGGAUAAAUGAGCAAUUAAUUGCUAUUGAUUCACAUGAUUAUAACUAUUUGUUUACAUGUGUGUACUAUUGAUUCACAUUGAUUUACUAUUAGGGGAGUUGGUGCAAGAUUGAUAAUACUUGCAUGAUUAAGUUAAAAAUGGAAGUAUAGAUGGAGGUACUAUACUCUAAUUCGUAUUUUCACAUGUCUAGAACUAUUGAUUCACAUGAUUUACUAUUGAUUCACAUGAUUUACUAUUAGGAGAGGUGGUGCAAGUUUGAUAAUACUUGCAGGACAAAAUUAAAAAUGAAGGAAAAAAGGAAGGUAUUAUACUGUAAUAUUUUGAGCCCCAAAACGUGCAUUUAUCGAAACUAUAUUUUCCUAUAAAUAGAAGCUCAUUCUUCCUUCAUUUCUCACCAAUUCACUAAAGUUAUAGAACAAUUAUUAUAGAGAGAAAUUAUAGAGAG